rfam:Picea glauca, whole genome shotgun sequence.
UCCUCAAAUGCAUUGAGUUGUAGUGGUUGGUUGGACCAUCUAGGGGUAAAGCACUUUUAGGUAGUACAGGCUGUGGGAGCAGUACCAAAUUGAGGGAAACUUUGAAUGCUAGAUUGCCCCACUAAAGGGGGCAAGGGUCAGGUAGUGAGACGAUGGGGGCUAAGCUUCAUUGUUGAGAGGGGAACAACCCAGAUCACUAGCUAAGGCCCCUAAAUGACCACUUAGUGAAGAAGGAAGUACGAGUGCAAAGACAACCAUGAGGUUUUCCUAGAAGCAAGAAACCUUGAAAGAGUGUGUAAUUACUAAUAACUCACAGAUCGAAUGCUUUGGGUUGGAAAAUCAAGGGGUCAACCUACACUCAAGAUCCAUGAAAUUAUGUGAAUUUAACGAGGA